GAUGAACGCUGGCGGCGUGCCUAAUACAUGCAAGUCGAGCGAACGGACGAGAAGCUUGCUUCUCUGAUGUUAGCGGCGGACGGGUGAGUAACACGUGGAUAACCUACCUAUAAGACUGGGAUAACUUCGGGAAACCGUAGCUAAUACCGGAUAAUAUUUUGAACCGCAUGGUUCAAAAGUGAAAGACGGUCUUGCUGUCACUUAUAGAUGGAUCCGCGCUGCAUUAGCUAGUUGGUAAGGUAACGGCUUACCAAGGCAACGAUGCAUAGCCGACCUGAGAGGGUGAUCGGCCACACUGGAACUGAGACACGGUCCAGACUCCUACGGGAGGCAGCAGUAGGGAAUCUUCCGCAAUGGGCGAAAGCCUGACGGAGCAACGCCGCGUGAGUGAUGAAGGUCUUCGGAUCGUAAAACUCUGUUAUUAGGGAAGAACAUAUGUGUAAGUAACUGUGCGCAUCUUGACGGUACCUAAUCAGAGAGCCACGGCUAACUACGUG
rnacentral:rRNA from 1 species